GAAAUAUAUGGAUGUUAUUUUUGUAUGAUACAUUUUGAUUACAAAACCAUUUCUGCCUUCCUUCUGAGGCCCCUCUUCAUUUGGAUCUUGUUAUUUUGUACGUUGUGAGUUUAUUUUGUGAUCUAUAUAAGUGGUUCAUGGCUUCUCCUAAGGUCGGGUGAUGAGUAAAUGUGCAUAGUUCAGAUGAUCAACCCUAGUGGUUUUGAUUACCUUGAAUAAAUAGUCUUUCGCUCCUAACUGACGACCUUAUCAACGCCCAGUCUUUCUUGGAUUAGAUAAGUUUCACUUUGCUGUAAGAUUUUGGUCGUCAGAAAAUGAUAAAAAUUUGCUUGUUUUGAAGUCUUGCGAGAUUUUUUUUAUUUUUCCGCACAUGCGGAGGAAGUAUUGAAAUGCACAUGUAAAGAGGCCCCGAGUUUGAUCCUGAAUACUCGGGCUCCUAACCUUGGUGUGCGAGAGUUUAAUCUGGCGAUUCACUCUUCUUUGAGAGCGCAGAUGCUUCCCAUCGUGCCCUCACUGUGAAUUGUCGCACAAUUACUUAAAAGCAGCCAUAUUUUCGUGUAAAGAAUUGUUUUCGCUUCGUUUGAUUGUCAGAAUUUGGCAGCAAAGAAUUGAAUCGAUGUUGAAUACCAAAUCAGUUUGGAUAUUGAAAUGGGCUUCAAAUCAAAUUCUUGUUUGGAUGGACAAGAAUUUGGUAUGUAAAAUCAUAGGGAAUUUUCCAAUUCCAAAGGAUGGGCUAGACAACCUUUGAAUUCCAAGCCCUGAGGAGUACAGAACUGUGAACUGCACGAUUGGAAAAAGGUCAGCCGAUUCCACCCAAAAGGAGUGCACGGCCUCUGAAUUGUGCGCGGCCAUGGUUACUAAAAUGAACAGUAGUGUGGAAUUGGAUUCCAAUGUAUUGCUAUUCAGAAUAAAACAUCAGCAUUUGCUUCAGCCAAUACCAUUUCCUGGAUUCUGAGUGCCAAUCAUCCAACGGGGUGUUAAUAUGCUCCUGUCGCUAUCAAGUGCUUGUACAGACUGCAGAGUUUUGAAUUUGUAUAUAAAAUAUAAAGAUCGAUUAAACUUGCCGAACCUUUUUAUUAGGAAGCCAUCGUAGGGGUCAAAACAACCGAUAUGUAUUGAAAAUAAAUAUACUUUUUAGGUACUGAAGAACAAGUAUUAGCAUGCAACCAUUGAAGGGUUGAGGUGAAUAGGAGUUGAAUAAAUUUUCUUCACAAGAAGCUGGCCAAAAAAAUGAGACCGGCCGAUUUUGUAGAUUAGCCGGCCUUCUAGCUGAUUUUGUAGUAUUCUUUUUAUAGCAUUAGUGCUGCUAUUUGUAAUAGUUAAAUAUUAUUACUAUUUUUAGUGAUAAGUGAUGUCGGA
rnacentral:lncRNA from 1 species